AGUGAACGCUGGCGGUAGGCCUAACACAUGCAAGUCGAACGGCAGCACAGUAAGAGCUUGCUCUUACGGGUGGCGAGUGGCGGACGGGUGAGGAAUACAUCGGAAUCUACUUUUUCGUGGGGGAUAACGUAGGGAAACUUACGCUAAUACCGCAUACGACCUACGGGUGAAAGCAGGGGAUCUUCGGACCUUGCGCGUUUGUAUUAGCCGAUGUCGGAUUAGCUAGUUGGCGGGGUAAAGGCCCACCAAGGCGACGAUCCGUAGCUGGUCUGAGAGGAUGAGCAGCCAAACUGGAACUGAGACACGGACAAGACUCCGACGGGAGGGAGCAGUGGGGAAUAUUGGACAAUGGGCGCAAGCCUGAUCCAGCCAUACCGCGUGGGUGAAGAAGGCCUUCGGGUUGUAAAGCCCUUUUGUUGGGAAAGAAAAGCAGCAGGUUAAUACCCCGCUGUUCUGACGGUACCCAAAGAAUAAGCACCGGCUAACUUCGUG
rnacentral:rRNA from 1 species